UACGGAGGAUCCGAGCGUUAUCCGGAUUUAUUGGGUUUAAAGGGUGCGCAGGCGGGAGAUUAAGUCGGUGGUGAAAUUUUGCAGCUCAACUGUAAAAGUGCCUUCGAAACUGGUUUCCUUGAGUGUAGAUGAAGUAGGCGGAAUUUGUGGUGUAGCGGUGAAAUGCAUAGAUAUCACGAGGAACUCUGAUUGCGCAGGCAGCUUACUAAACCAUAACUGACGCUCAGGCACGAAGGCGUGGGGAUCAAACAGGAUUAGAUACCCCUGUA
rnacentral:rRNA from 1 species